ACCGGCGCACGGGUGAGUAACGCGUAUACAAUUUACCUUAUACAGGGGGAUAGCCUUUAGAAAUGAAGAUUAAUACUCCAUGGUAUUAUGAUAUGGCAUCAUAUUAUAAUUAAAGAUUUAUUGGUAUAAGAUGAGUAUGCGUUCUAUUAGUUAGUUGGUAAGGUAAUGGCUUACCAAGGCAUCGAUAGAUAGGGGCCCUGAGAGGGGGAUCCCCCACACUGGUACUGAGACACGGACCAGACUCCUACGGGAGGCAGCAGUGAGGAAUAUUGGGCAAUGGAGGCAACUCUGACCCAGCCAUGCCGCGUGCAGGAGGACGGCCCUAUGGGUUGUAAACUGCUUUUAUAGAGGAAGAAACCCUCCCACGUGUGGGAGGCUGACGGUACUCUACGAAUAAGGACCGGCUAACUCCGUGCCAGCAGCCGCGGUAAUACGGAGGGUCCAAGCGUUAUCCGGAAUCAUUGGGUUUAAAGGGUCCGUAGGCGGGCAAUUAAGUCAGAGGUGAAAUCCCACAGCUCAACUGUGGAACUGCCUUUGAUACUGGUUGUCUUGAGUUAUAUUAAAGUGAGUAGAAUAUGUAGUGUAGCGGUGAAAUGCUUAGAUAUUACAUAGAAUACCGAUUGCGAAGGCAGCUCACUAAGUAUAUACUGACGCUGAUGGACGAAAGCGUGGGGAGUGAACAGGAUUAGAUACCCUGGUAGUCCACGCCGUAAACGAUGGUUACUAGUUGUUGG
rnacentral:rRNA from 1 species